CUCUCUCUCUCUCUCUCUCUCUCUCUCUGUCUCUCAAAUGUACUAUAUAAUAAGUCAUCUUAAUUCACAGGUCCAAUGUCAACAACGCGUACAACGCCAAACCUUCGUUGAUUAGGCCAUCCAAUAUAGCCGCAGAUCUUCUUGCAAUUGUCCCACUAGUUUCCAAUCGCUUCAGCUCUGCUGAUAUUUCAUCAUCCUACAGUAAUUUGCAAGCGACCAUACAUUUACAAGGCAUUAGUCUUUCAUUUUAUUUUUUUGUUUCAUUCAUUUCGCAGAUCAGUAGUACUACUGCAUGCAGGAAAAGUCGAUAUUUUACAAACGAUCAAAACCCACAAAUUAAAAGGUUGCUCAAUCCGGACAGAUAUAUAUAUAUAUAGUAGGACAACAUGAGCAAAAGUGCCAACGGUCCAAAGCUGGAAUUGAAGCUGAACUUGUCGCCGCCAAGGCGGGAUCACUCGCCUGUUGAGUCUCUAAAUUUUUUGACCCCUUCUUCGUCGGAAAUGUCAGUUGAAGGCUCAUGCGUUUCAUCCGAGCCUGAAGAUCAGCCUAUGACGUUGCAGUACUCCCCAAGCAGCACGGAACCCAGAUCGAUGAUGCUCGUAGGAUGUCCCAGAUGCCUCAUGUACGUCAUGUUAUCCGAGCUGGCUGAUCCAAAAUGCCCCAAAUGCAAGAGUACUGUCCUGCUCGAUGUCCUCAAGGAAGAAAAUGCCAGGAAUACAAGAAACUGAGCUAGCUAGCUGGAGCAUGCAUUUGCAUCGCUUCGUUUUCCUGUUCCUCAUCAGCAUCAAUUCCAACUGCACGCUUUCUCUUUUCUUUCUUUCUUUCUUUUCUUUGAUCUCGAUGCUAGCUUAAUUUGGCUUGACCUUAUUUAUUUUCUAAUGCAGCUUUUAUCUUCUUUCGUCGAUCGGCUUUAAUUAUUUUAAGGUACUGUUUCUCUUGUCUACUAUUAAUUAUUAUUCCUUUUUGGUUC